rnacentral:rRNA from 1 species
UGCAAGUCGAACGAAGUACAAUACUUAGUGGCAGACGGGUGAGUAACAUGUAGGUAUCUACCCUUUGGCCUGGAAUAACACGAGGAAACUUGUGCUAAUACUGGAUAAGUCUUUACGGAGAAAGCUUUAUGCACCAUUGGAUGAGCCUGCACUUGAUUAGUUUGUUGGUGGGGUAAUGGCCUACCAAGACUGUGAUCAAUAGCUGAUUUGAGAGGAUGAUCAGCCACAUUGGGACUGAGACACGGCCCAGACUCCUACGGGAGGCAGCAGUGGGGAAUCUUGCACAAUGGAGGAAACUCUGAUGCAGCGAUGCCGCGUGAGUGAAGAAGGCCUUUGGGUUGUAAAGCUCUUUCGUCGGGGAAGAAAAUGACUGUACCCGAAUAAGAAGGUCCGGCUAACUUCGUGCCAGCAGCCGCGGUAAUACGAAGGGACCUAGCGUAGUUCGGAAUUACUGGGCUUAAAGAGUUCGUAGGUGGUUGAAAAAGUUGGUGGUGAAAUCCCAGAGCUUAACUCUGGAACUGCCAUCAAAACUUUUCAGCUAGAGUAUGAUAGAGGAAAGCAGAAUUUCUAGUGUAGAGGUGAAAUUCGUAGAUAUUAGAAAGAAUACCAAUUGCGAAGGCAGCUUUCUGGAUCUUACUGACACUGAGGAACGAAAGCAUGGGUAGCGAAGAGGAUUAGAUACCCUCGUAGUCCAUGCCGUAAACGAUGUGUGUUAGACGUUGGA